GGGCCGUCCGCGUGCGGCAGCGACCAGCAUAAGGCCCAGUGUCCGACCGGCCACACACACACUGCAGCCAUGGAGGCGGUGCUGGCCGUUCUGGUGGCCACGGCCGCUUUGACGGCGGCGUCUCGCUUCGGAAUGCCGUAUGGGCGAGCCGCUUCUCCAGACGCGCCGGAGGGGUGCUGCCAGGACGGGGUGCCGGUGUGCUCGCAGCUGAGCCGGCGGCUGCGGAUCCCCGACCUGGGCUGCGAGCUGCUGUGCCGCGCCCAGGGACACCUCGGCUCGCUGGGCUGCAGCUACCGCGCGCCAGUGCCCGCCUGCGGCUGCCGCAACGACGCCGCCCCCUCCACGGCGCCGCCUCCAGAGGCGGAGGCCGACUCCGCGGCGCAGCCGGAGCUGCGCAUGCUCGGCACCAGAGUACCGGACCUCAGAACUCUGCCGCGCACGAGAUUCUAAUAAGGAACGUCGUCUUGUACCUGGCAGCAUAUAUGUCGUCAAAUGACAAAACUUAUUUCAACAUUCGAUUCGCCGGGAAAAGUCAAGGUCUCACCUUAUUUCAUACGGUUUCAGCUCAGUAGAUGAGACAUUCAGCAGCUGUUAGUUUUGACUAAUGAGAAACAAUGUUGCUACAUCUAUUUAUGUGUCAUACUGAACUAAAUGAGAUGAACCUGCUUUAACAUCCCAACCCAGCACUACAUAUCUCUUCAAACACCGUUCACCUUUCCUUAAUAGCUACGGGUUGGCAAUCGAUUAUCUGGCACUGGUGGCAAUUAAAAAUCUGUCCAUUUUUAAUAGGGCAAUUAAAUUUGAAUAACAACCUCUAUAUCAGUUAUUUAACUCAACAAAAGGAUUCUAUCAUCCAUGCUGAGCAAAGGCACUUUUUCUAUCCUUUCUGCGUCCAAGCAGUAGCGUAGUGUGAAGUCUACUUUUUUUUUGCUUGUUUAAAUUGUUUUUGGGAAAUACUUCACGAGCUCUUACAAACUUCAGCUACACUGACGAAACUCAGCAGAGCUACCUGAUCAAUUGAAAUCUAAAUUGCUGUAAAAAUCCUUAAAGAAGAAUGCACACUGUAUUAUGGUAAUUAUUAAACAGAUGUUAAAAAUACUGUCAGGUUGCUCAAAAAUAUUCACUUGUUUUUGUGAAUUUCUUUAUUGUUGAAAAUUUUGUAUUUGUGGGGACCCACAGCUUUCAGAUGCUUAAUAAACGUAAACAUGGUCCGUA